rnacentral:rRNA from 1 species
AGAGUUUGAUCNUGGCUCAGGACGAACGCUGGCGGCGCGCUUAACACAUGCAAGUCGAGCGAUGAAGCACCUUCGGGUGUGAAUUAGCGGCGAACGGGUGAGGAACACGUGAGAAAUCUGCCUUCAACUCUGGGAUAACUCCGUGAAAACGGGGCUAAUACCGGAUAUGAGAUCUACAGGCAUCUGUGGAUCUGGAAAGUUUUUCGGUUGAAGAUGAUCUCGCGGCCUAUCAGCUUGUUGGUGAGGUAAUGGCUCACCAAGGCGACGACGGGUAGCCGGCCUGAGAGGGCGACCGGCCACACUGGGACUGAGACACGGCCCAGACUCCUACGGGAGGCAGCAGUGGGGAAUAUUGGGCAAUGGAGGAAACUCUGACCCAGCGACGCCGCGUGCGGGAUGAAGGCCUUCGGGUUGUAAACCGCUUUCAGCAGGGAAGAAGCGAAAGUGACGGUACCUGCAGAAGAAGCACCGGCUAACUAUGUGCCAGCAGCCGCGGUAAUACAUAGGGUGCAAGCGUUGUCCGGAAUUAUUGGGCGUAAAGAGCUCGUAGGUGGUUCGUCACGUCGGAUGUGAAACUCUGGGGCUUAACCCCAGACCUGCAUUCGAUACGGGCGAGCUUGAGUAUGGUAGGGGAGUCUGGAAUUCCUGGUGUAGCGGUGGAAUGCGCAGAUAUCAGGAGGAACACCAAUGGCGAANGCAGGACUCUGGGCCAUUACUGACACUGAGGAGCGAAAGCGUGGGGAGCGAACAGGAUUAGAUACCCUGGUAGUCCACGCCGUA